GACGAACGCUGGCGGCGUGCCUAAUACAUGCAAGUAGAACGCUGAAGGAGGAGCUUGCUCUUCUGGAUGAGUUGCGCACGGGUGAGUAACGCGUAGGUAACCUGCCUGGUAGCGGGGGAUAACUAUUGGAAACGAUAGCUAAUACCGCAUAAUAGUAGAUGUUGCAUGACAUUUGCUUAAAAGGUGCAAUUGCAUCACUACCAGAUGGACCUGCGUUGUAUUAGCUAGUUGGUGGGGUAACGGCUCACCAAGGCGACGAUACAUAGCCGACCUGAGAGGGUGAUCGGCCACACUGGGACUGAGACACGGCCCAGACUCCUACUGGAGGCAGCAGUAGGGAAUCUUCGGCCAUGGACGGAAGUCUGACCGAGCAACGCCGCGUGAGUGAAGAAGGUUUUCGGACCGUAAAGCUCUGUUGUAAGAGAAGAACGGGUGUGAGAGUGGAAAGUUCACACUGUGACGGUAUCUUACCAGAAAGGGACGGCUAACUACGUG
rnacentral:rRNA from 1 species